AUUAUAGAUAAACUAGUAAGCUUUACUUGAUACCUUAUCCUCGAUAAACAGAUACACCUUUUCUACAAAUAUUUUUUUUGACAAGCAUUGAGCCUCAGUUCAAAUGUCACCAUAUUUGCAUUUAAUUAGAUAAAGAAUACUAAGCAGGAUUGAUUGUGUUCCAAAAGCCAAUACACUCAGCGAUAACUAAUGUAAAGUUAAUAUGUAAAUUUCG